GACGAACGCUGGCGGCGUGCCUAAUACAUGCAAGUCGAGCGGAAGUUGAAGAGCUUGCUCUUCAACUUUAGCGGCGGACGGGUGAGUAACACGUGGGCAACCUGCCCUGCAGAUCGGGAUAACUCCGGGAAACCGGUGCUAAUACCGCAUAGUUUUCGCCACCUCCUGGUGGCGUACGGAAAGACGGUUUCGGCUGUCACUGCAGGAUGGGCCCGCGGCGCAUUAGCUAGUUGGUGGGGUAACGGCCCACCAAGGCAACGAUGCGUAGCCGACCUGAGAGGGUGAUCGGCCACACUGGGACUGAGACACGGCCCAGACUCCUACGGGAGGCAGCAGUAGGGAAUCUUCCGCAAUGGACGAAAGUCUGACGGAGCAACGCCGCGUGAGUGACGAAGGUUUUCGGAUCGUAAAACUCUGUUGUGAGGGAAGAACAAGUACCACUUAACUACUGGUACCUUGACGGUACCUCACCAGAAAGCCACGGCUAACUACGUGCCAGCCGCCGCAGUAACAC
rnacentral:rRNA from 1 species